UACAGAGGGUGCGAGCGUUGUCCGGAAUCACUGGGCGUAAAGGGCGCGUAGGCGGCUUGAUAAGGUUGCGGUGAAAGCCCGGGGCUCAACCCCGGGUCGGCCGUGGCAACUGUCGAGCUGGAGCACUGUAGAGGCAGGUGGAAUUCCGGGUGUAGCGGUGGAAUGCGUAGAGAUCCGGAAGAACACCGGUGGCGAAGGCGGCCUGCUGGGCAGUGGC
rnacentral:rRNA from 1 species